AUUGAACGCUGGCGGCAGGCCUAACACAUGCAAGUCGAACGGUAACAGGAAGCAGCUUGCUGCUUCGCUGACGAGUGGCGGACGGGUGAGUAAUGUCUGGGAAGCUGCCUGAUGGAGGGGGCUAACUACUGGAAACGGUAGCUAAUACCGCAUAAUGUCGCAAGACCAAAGAUGGGGACCUUCCGGCCUCUUGCCAUCGGCUGUGCCCAGAUGGGAUUAGCUUGUUGGUGGGGUAACGGCUCACCAAGGCGACGAUCCCUAGCUGGUCUGAGAGGAUGACCAGCCACACUGGAACUGAGACACGGUCCAGACUCCUACGGGAGGCAGCAGUGGGGAAUAUUGCACAAUGGGGGCAAGCCUGAUGCAGCCAUGCCGCGUGUAUGAAGAAGGCCUUCGGGUUGUAAAGUACUUUCAGCGGGGAGGAAGGGAGUAAAGUUAAUACCUUUGCUCAUUGACGUUACCCGCAGAAGAAGCACCGGCUAACUCCGUG
rnacentral:rRNA from 1 species